rnacentral:rRNA from 1 species
CCUACGGGUGGCAGCAGUGAGGAAUAUUGGUCAAUGGGCGCAAGCCUGAACCAGCCAAGUAGCGUGAAGGAUGACGGCCCUACGGGUUGUAAACUUCUUUUAUAAGGGAAUAAAGUGAGGCACGUGUGCCUUUUUGUGUGUACCUUAUGAAUAAGGAUCGGCUAACUCCGUGCCAGCAGCCGCGGUAAUACGGAGGAGCCGAGCGUUAUCCGGAUUUAUUUGGUGUAAAGGGAGCGUAGGUGGGCUGUUAAGUCAGUUGUGAAAGUUUGCGGCUCAACCUUAGAAUUGCAUUUGAUACUGGCAGUCUUGAGUACAUGUGAGGUAUGCGGAAUGCGUGGUGUAGCGGUGAAAUGCUUAGAUAUCACGAAGAACUCCGAUUGCGAAGGCAGCUGACCAAGCUGCCACUGACGCUGAUGCUCGAAAGUGUGGGUAUCAAACAGGAUUAGAUACCCGAGUAGUC